UCGGGGAUGGGGAACGGGGUGAAGGGAGCGCGGGGGGCCCGGGCAGGGCUCGGGGUGCGGACACGGGCUGUCCCCGAGACCCAGCCGAGCGGCCCCGGGCUCUGCCGCCCGUCCUUUCGCAGCGGCCCGAGCCGCCCGGGCUCCCCCCUGCUGCCCGCACCCCUCGGAUCCCCCAGCGGGGCUUUGCCCCCGCUCCCCAAAGCGGAGAGUCCACCCGGCCAAAACCUGUGGCAGGAGCUGGGAGCUGGCGAGUGUCGCUGCCGCAGAUGAGAUUAACCAGCUGAAGUUAACAACAAACUCUGGAUUUCAACAAACCCGAAUGAAUCACCAGGAACAAACCCUGCUCUGCGGCCGUCAGCCCUCUGAAGAGCACUCAUUGGCUCACUUCAAACUUAAAGAGCAACUUUUGACAAACACUCCAUCAAAAAACUGGCUAAUACUUGCUUCUCUCUUAAUCCUCCUUGAGCUGUUUCCCUGUUGCUAAUCUCUCCCAGAAACCAUUAUUAAAUCUUUCCUGGUUUGCAACGCUAAUUCUGAGCAAAUGCACCAGGAACAAAACAUCAGCUGGGCCUGUGUCUUUGUGUCAUUUGCAUGCUCCACGGGAAGAUCGUUUCGCUUCUAAUGAGACUAAUUAAAAAGAAACAAAAAAUAAUAAAUCAAUCCCAUUAAUCUUAAUAAAUUGAAGCACUAUGGUCCUUCCCAAAGCGUUAGUGACUGCCAGCUCCUAACAUGCUGGAAUGCAAAAUUGCUCCUACUGUAAAAUCAUGGGAUCAUAGAACAGUUUGGGUUGAAGGGACCUUCAAAGCUCAUUGAAUCCACCACCCAGCCAUGAGCAGGGACAUCUUCACCAGCUCAGGUUGCUCAGAGCCCCGUCCAGCCUGGCCUGGGAUGUCUCCAGGGAUGGGGCAUCCACCACCUCUCCUUGUAAAACAUCUCUUCCUCAUGUCUAGGUUGAACCUCCUCUCCUUUAGUUUAAAGCCAUCACCCCUUGUCCCACCGCAGCAGGUCCUGCUAAAAAGUCUGUCCCCAGCUUUUUUGUAUCCCCCUUUUAAGCACAGAAAGGCCUCAAUAAGGUCAUCCCAGAGCUUUUUCUUCUCCAGGCUGAACACCCCAACCCUCUCAGCUUGUCCCCAUAGGAAACAUCCCUCAGCAUGCCCCCAUGUUCUGGUUUCUUAGUCUGUUCUCUCUGUUCUGGGCUGUGCUGGGGGUCGAGCAGCCCCUGCGGUCCAGGGCUGGGAGGUAAAUCCCUCAUCGCAGCCCCAGGCUCCGCAGGGCUCAUCCCAGAAGACAGCGACGGGUGGACGUGUUCCUAAAAUUAACCUGUAAAAAGUGCUUUGAUAGGAUGCUGACAGCUAAAGCGGAAUCAAAUUAUCGUUUGGAAUUGCCAUGAGAUAAUUGGCCUCAUUUACUAUUUUAAGACAAAAAAAAAAAAAAGGCUCCCUCUUCUCCCUCUUCCAGACAACUGCAAUGGAGAAAUAUUCAGGAGUAGAUGAUGUCCCCAAACAUAUCAUUAAAGCUUUAAAUAAAUGUAUGAUGACAUCUCCUGCUAAGAAAGACUUCCUUUGUAUUUCAGAUAGGAACCAGCCAGGUCAUUUUCAAUGUCAUUUUUUAAUAAACAAAAGAGAUUCCUCUUUUUUUCCAGGCACACAGCUUAAAAUAUUUGGAGAUGUAAGUAUGUAAUUUGAAUUCCUUCACACAUUAUUGAUUUAAAAAUAAUCUUUCUUAGAGAUGCCUCUUACUUGCCAAAAGGUAAAUGCUUCUGUCUGCUGUGUUUUGUCAGUUUUACUCUACUUGAACAGCUACAGAGCUGACCCAGUCCCACCCUGCAGAUUAUCAUGUUUGUAAAAGGGAGAAAGAGAUGAGAACUAUCCCUUUCUCACUCUCUCAUUAAUUGCAAGGAUUAAACGCCAAGGCAGCUACACAGUAUUACGAAGGAAAUAAAAAUAUGAAUUGGAGGAGCCAAGUUCUGCAUUUGCUGCUCCACUGUCCCGAUGUAUCCGAGCCCAUCGCACCCACUCCCAGACCCAAACCCCUCCCAUGGCAGCAAAACAAUCACCCGCCGAGCAAAACAAUCUGUUCUCGUGAUAAACCUGAGCGGUAUUUUGGGUAAAUACUACACUUAUCUGUUGAAGGCACUGAACAUGUUAUUGAGAAAUGGACACUGAGUAAAUUAUCCUGACCCCAUUCAUUUUCUGAUUAAUUUCAAAGUCGCUUUCUUAUUUGAAAAAAUCUACACCUAAAGUUAAAUAGGAAGACUCUUACUUUUCUCACUGUUCUGUGGGCUCAUUAUAUCUUCAUCUCACCAUUGUAACACCAAAAGCGUGAAAUUAAUUUUCUUUUCUUUUUCUCAGUAAGUCGCUGUUUGCCUAGUGCAAGCAACAUUAUGUCUGUGCUGAUGUGUCAGACGUUAAAAAUACCGUGAGACCGUUUGAUGAGCAGUGAGGCUUUUGUAAAAUUAUAGAUCUUGAAGGGACUUUAUCUUGCCAUCUGGAUUUCACAUCUCUUUAGAUUCCCCUUUGCUGCUGCAAAGCACCCGCAGUGCAGGCAGGGGGAGGAGCCACGGCCAGGGGGAGGAGCCACAGCUGGGGAGGAGCCAUAAAUGGGCGGUCCCACCAAGUGGGCGUGGUCAUGAAGGGCCAAUCAGGGAGCGGUGCUGCCUCUAAAAGCUCUGCCUUUGGGCAACUGGGGAGACCAGGGGGUGGUGGGGGUGGUUGGCUCUGGUUACCCAAAGCCUGAUUCCUAGCCUGGGCAUCUAUUAAAAGGGAGUGUUUAGAGAUGUGCGAAGUGUGAAUGAGGUCUGGAGCCUCCUUUGGCUGCAGGACAGGUGAGAGAUGCCCCAGGUAUGACACCCCCUGAUGCUUCCCCCAUCCAAGGUAGCAGCAGCUCCCAUCAGCUCGUGGGUUCAUUCUCCUCCUCCACUCUUCUGACUGCUCCUCAAGACUUGUCCCCUUGGCCUGGGAAAGCUCUGAGCUGCUCUGGGCUCAGGAGGCCUGGAGGUUCACCCUCUACUUGGCAACUAACUUAUGCACGCUAAGCACAAGCAAGACAAAACCACCUUCGUGGUCCAGGAGGGCAGCUGUUGUGUGCUGGGGCUGUUCCUGGGCUGUCUCCUCCAGCACAGCUUUGCUGUUGCUCGCUCACCUCUCUCCUUCUGAGCAUCUCUGAAGCUGGUGUGUGUAUUUAGAGCAAAACCUUGGGUGGCUGUAGUAGGUUCGCAUGAUUGAUCCCAACACCAAACCAUCCCAUACCAGGAUGGUGAGCAGGUCCCGAAACUUCGUGAUAUCUGAGAAGUUUCCAGCUGCUCUCCUUUCAUGUCUGUCUGGUGGACACCAACCCUUGGAACCUUGAGAAGGUCUGUACCAAGCAGAGCUCGUGGGGAAAGGUGGUGGUGACCUGCACAUGUGCAGGGCUGCCUGUUUUUGUUGCUGCCUCUCUGUCCCCAGCGGUGUGGGUGGCAUGGGCUGUUUGUCUUGGAGGUGCUGGGAUGGACUGGAAACCAGCACUGACCUCUGAAGCAAUGCUGGGGGUGUUUGGCUGUCCAGCCAGUGGCUCGGCUUGCCUUGAGUUCACGAGAUCUGAUUUUUGAGAUAGUACAAACAGACCCGUCGUCCCCAGCAGCCAGACUCGCUGGCUGGUGUCACCUCUGCCGAGGACGAGAACAGCGUGUCGGUGUCGCUGGAGGUUAAAUCACAGCAAAUCACAUUUCUUGUCCGCAAAUGGGCUGCACACGUGCUUUCUUUAAUCAGUAUUUAGUUUGUUGAAUUACUUUUAUUGGUAGUUAACUGUGUGAUGGUCUCAGUUGAACAGCUGGUCCAUGAUUUGAAAAGAAUAUUCUUCAACCCUUGCUGAGUGCAAUUAUUUUUGGAUACAAGUGGAGUCUUUAGAGCCAUUAAGAAGAUAAAACACAGAUUGUUUGCAGAGAUUUUUUUUUAUUAUUAUUUUAAUAGCUUUCAAAGAGAGGAACUUUUAUUAUUUUUUCUAUUGUUAGCAGACAGUGCAGUGGAACCCAAGCAGAAGGGCUGGGAAGAGACACAGAUGUUCCCUUUGCCACUGGCUGGGCUGCUGGGCACCCAAACCCAGGGCAGAGGGUUUGAACCUCCCUCCAAAGCUGCCGUGAUGUUUCCCAGAUCUUGCAGUAGCUCAUCUGCCCACCGGUUUCUUAGCAAAACCACUGAGGGCUGGUGUGGGGCUCCCUAUAUAAUGAUUUAAAAGCAUGUCAGUGGAUGGGGCAAUGGCAAAACAGAGGAAAUUAAGGACUUUGUACUUUCUUCCAUUGAUGGGGAAAAUCACAGACAGAUCCCAAACCUCUGACUCCCAGCCCAGCACCAGCUCAUCCAGACCACAAAAGAAAAUAGGCGAUCUCCAUUUUUAGAGCACGGUGGGUUGUGGUAGCAACUGGGACACCCUUAUCCUCAAGAGUAAGAGUAUGUAUUCUCUCUCUCUCAAAAAAAAGGCAUUGAUUUAUCAGUAGAUAAUAAGUUAUCUCAUGAGUUAAAUGGAGUUUGUAUGUUAUGCCCCUCCACGAAGGAGGCUGGCUGACUUCUCUUUCUCUGCAAGAGGAGUGCUUUAAAUUAUUUAGAGGAAACUACACAAUCUUGGCUGCAGUUUGCUAUUAUGAUUGCAGAGCUUGUCCCAGUGAAAACCACAGGCAGAGAGGCUGUAAAAUUAUGGCUGUCUCUUUAGUGGGAAGAUAAAGCGAAAUUGUUAAAGCAGGUAAGGAUUGGAUGCUUUUAGUUUAUCCUGGGGACAUGUUGUUGUAGACUGAGUCUCCCAAACUUCAGUCUGAAGUCAACAAUGCACUUAUUUGGGUUGGAGAUUAGUAACAAGUUUCAAAAGGAAAGCCUAUACCUAAUAAUAAAUCAGUGUUUCAUUCCAGCACCUCUGUAUACCUUGAUUUUCUUUUUUAAUGCCCUUGUGUUUCAAAACUGCAAGGGCAAGAAAAGGAAAGGAACUCAAUCAUAAACAUUAUUCAGUAUCAUUUGUUAUACUGAGGGGAGGAAAACCCUUACAACUUCAAUACAUAAUUAAAAAUGUCUAAUAAAAAGCACUAGUAAAUUGGGUGAUCAACAGCAAAUGGCAGAGCAGCAUCUGUUCCUUCCCACUAGGUAAGGAUGCUGCAGGUGUGUGGAUAAUGCAAUAUCAGCUGGGGGGGAAGAUCCUUGUCCCGGGCACCCUUUCUGCUGCCACCUCCCUGCUCUGCUCUUCCUUCCCCCCCUUUUUUGGUGGUGUUUGUAUUUGUUUUCCCCUUCCUGACUGUAUGAAUCUCUGCUGCUCACUGGGGUCAUUCUAACCUUGCCUCGGUGCUGGCAGCUGAUGGGAACGGGCUGUUUGGCAAUAACUCUUCUCAGGGAGCACUCUUUGUGGACAUAGUAUUCAGUAAUAAAAGUAAUGAUUUUGGAACAGUGCACUUGUGUAGGGAGCUACGCCACAAGAAUUUAUUAAAUGGUUUAUUCUGCAAUAAAUGCAACAUAAAUUGAAAAAAAAAGAAGUCAGGACAAACGGAGGAGCGGGGAAGGACCUCAAGAGGACAACUGCCCCGUUCCCAACGAUGCCAGAGUACAUGUGUUUGCUGGAUCUGGGUAAUCAACACCCGGGUUGAUUGCCUGCGGCUCCUCCAGCGUUCUUGCCAUGAGAACAGCUCGAAUGAUUUGGGCCUUAACUGCUUGUCAGCUUUGCUUCCUGUUUUCUCACUUUGUUGGAAGUCAACAGUAAUGUAGAGGUUUUUUUUUACUAGUGGGAUGUAAAAUAAGGAGAAUCAGUGAAUUUCUUGCACAAGCAGAGAAUUAGCGCCCUGCCGAAGAGCCGCGGAGCCUGCGUGUGUUCGCGCAGCAGGAUCCUCUAUCUGUCUUCAGCACAGUUGUGUUCAGAUCAAAUUAAGAUGAAAUUAUGGCACUGGGACUUCAUGUAGGUUAAAAUGGCUCUGUAUAAAACGCCUCCAGCAUUGCAAACAUGGGUUCUUGAGUCAGAAUGGCGAUCUUUGACUUAACCUGCCCUCUAGUCCAGCUUUAGGGGUCAGUUACUGUGGAGGGAUUGGUUCAUCCCAAGGCAGAUGCAGAAAACUCACUGUCUUGCUGCAGAACCAGCAAUAAAAUAUUUUUUUGAAGCAAGAAAAUAAUCAGGGUGGUUUUAAUGAGGCUCAGAAGGAAGACUCUCUUAUCAGCAGAAAAUUCAGCUGUUAUUCAACUCAUUCCUCCUUAUUAACCCUUAGUGACCACCCAUGGGUGAGCACUCAGUCUUUUCCAACCAAAAUGAUUCUGUGACUCUGUGGUACAAACCAUUUCCUCCAUCAGCAUCUGGGAGGUGAUGGGUGAGCCCUGGUGUAAGUGGGGGACAGGGACCUGUGGUCAGCACAUGGGACGCCCCUGGCUGGGUGCUCAUCAUGCGUUUCUCUACCAGCAUCAGUUCAGCACCGUGUGGGUGGGUAUGGAUUCUGCCUGGGGGGGCGCUGCCGGAGCGGAUUUCUAAUUAUAGCUAAUUGCAGGGUUGAUACAUUCUGGAUUUGGUCUGAUACAAGUCAAACGAUUUCCUGUUGUUCAGCACUUUGCAGACACGUACCCAGAGGCACCGAGAGGGACGUGUUUUCUGAAAGCAUCCAGCUGGGCAAACACACGCUCUUCCUUUUCCUUCCCGUGCACGGACCUUGCUGAAGCAAAACGCCCACAGCCUGGUUCUGUGGUCUGGGGUGAUGCUGACUCUGUAUUUUAUUUAAUAGUGUAGAGGUCCCUGAACCAGGUGAAAUACUCUGAUUUAGUUAAGCUGGGGGCUCCUGGGAGGACCAGGGUCCUUGGCCACACUGAGCCCUUUUCCAUCCCCAAAACACCGCAGAGAAGGUCCCUGGCAGUGAGGAUGAAUGGAGCUGGGCUGGCCCUUGCCUCAGGUGAAGGCUGGAGUGUCACCCAUCACAAAUAUCUCCAAAUUAUCAAACCUCCAGCUCUGUUCAGUUAUUGGGUGAAACAUUUUGGCUCGUGGUGGAGAGCAGCUCAUACGAGAUGUUUUCAUGGCUGUUUCUGAUCUUAAAACCAAUGAGUCCCUGAAUUGCUAUCCAAACCCAGAAAAACAUCCUUGUAGCUACGCUGGCAUUUAUCACAUAACGAUGUACCCAAGUGUAUCUAAGCACGAAGUCUGCAUUAUCAGACCUUUGGAGAUUACUUUUAUCAUCUUCCCUCUAUUAAAUAUAGCUCAGCUCUGCUGCCUUGAACAUGAAUAAAAUUUGCUGGCUAUUCCUUCUAGGAAUCAUCCAUUAAGUAUUUUUAAAAUGCUGUUCAGCGAUGUGUUUGCCCUGUGUUUGUGCUCAAUGGGAUCACUGUUGCGUAAUCCACAGUGUUCCCUGUGCAUGAUGAUUAUUUUUUGGCUGAUUUAUGUAGGAAGUAACCUUCACCGCUUCACCACUUUUUUAAUGUAUUUUAACAAAUCUGAACACGUGGCGGAUUCUGUUAUCUCGAGCUGUGGGGUUUUGCCCUUGGCUGGAAGUGUGGACAAGGUCAGAGGGAGGGAGAUGGCGGUUUCUCUGGCUGGAGAUGCUGAUUGAUGGCUCUGUGGGGUUGCUUUGCACAGUUCGCUCUGAAGAACAGUGGCUGGGUGAUGCUGAUGGGGUUGGGGGAUCAAAAGGUUGUACCUGGAUUUCAGCAGAGAAAGGUCAGGGUUGGGGGACCACAGCUCAGCAUCCCACUGGAGGAAGGAUGCUCUGCUCAUCUCCUCCACAGGAGACCCCCCAAAGGGAGGAGGAGACACACAUAUCCAGUGUUAAAUGGCAUAUGACUCAAGGAAAAAGAAGAAAAAUCAUGCCUCUUUAUUACAUAGAUUUAUCUAGCUGUGCCGGGGCCUGACAACCACCACCAGAUGCUCAUCUUCUCAGUUGCGUUAUUGGAUUCUGGGACAUCCUGGUAAUUGCCAUAAGUGGGAGAUGAUUCCCCAGCGUCUGGCAUGUGUUAAUACUGAUUCAGAGCGCUUAUCAGUCCACUUAAGGAAAGACCGUACGUGCUCUGUCUGCAGUCAGAGGCAGCCUGGUAAAUUCUGAAGGAUCAACAUUUGAUCCUAUCUUUUUUUCCCUUCAAAUUGCUGCUGAAUGACUGAGUCCUCACCACCGGACCCUGCUGCAGCUUGGACAGUUAAAGGUACAGAGGCAUUGCCCAGAUGUCACCCCCUUUUCUGGCGAUGGGUAGGAAAGUGCUGUCCUGUUUCCCCCAGCUUUGCCCCCAGGUGGUAUUUCAGGAGCUGCCGAAACGCCAACAUGUCCCAACAGAAAUCUUCCAACAAAUUAAAACUACUUCUGUUGGGUUUGUUGUUGUUGUUUCAGGUUCAAACUGCCUGUUCCCUUUGUGGCUGACUGCAGGUAUUGAUGAGCACAGCUGCUUGGAUGCUACUCAGCUGGAUGGCUUUUAAGGGAGGAGAGAGCAGUAGGUGGAGGUCUCUGGGGGCGGUGGAAUCUCAGGCAGGUGGGUUUCCCUGCUCAGCUCAAAGAGAGGAAAAGGGAAGAAUAAAACCAGCUAAAAGCAGAUAUUUCAGUAAUUGCUCCAAAGGUGCUGUUUUCAUUCCAGGUAGGAAUGAAAAACACAGGGUUUAGGCAGUUUUAAGAAUUUUUGUUCCCACUUCCUUCCUCUGAGGAGCCUGACAGCGUUGGGUCAAAAAUGAGAGUAGAUGCUGGUGUGUGUGCAGCAACGCUGGCGACCUCCUGUCUUCCAGCAGAGCUGUGGAGGUUUUUGAGGGAAACAAUGGUGCAAAAGGGUCUGUUUAAACAGGGGAAUGAAAUGUUUCCCAGCGUCGCUCCUGGCUGAGGAAUGCUGUUGGGUUUUAAACAGUAUGCGAGGGCAGGGAAAAGGCAUUUUUCAGGCGUGCAGGGCUCCAGCGCUGUCUAGACUUCAUAAUGCAACGGUGCUCACCGCCCUGCCUUGAACUGCUGCCACAGCGUCUCAGCACCUCCUAUAAAUGGCAGCUGAGAAGCCUUUCCCUCUGCCAAAGCCUCAGUCAUGCUAACGAGACCCUGGUUCCUGUCGAAUUUGGCAAUCUGUCCCACUAAACUGGUGAACUUGGAGCAGGUGGUGGCAAAGCUCAUUUCCUAAAAACCACAUCCCUCUGGAGACAAAAAGCCACACCUGAGUUCCCAUGGUGGGGUGACUGCAGCUCACUCCAGGCCAAGGGAGAUGUCUGGAUGCGGAGUGGAUGCUCCUGCCUGGGAACCUGAGAUCAGAGCUCUGCGGAGAGAUGUGGCUAUAUGAAGACUCCGAGUUCAGACGCAGGAAUUAUGAAGUGCUGGCCUGGCUUUUUUGGAAGUAUUAUUUGCCUUUUAUAGUCACUGUCUGCAGCCCAGGCUGAUCAUCCUGUUGCAGAGGAAAACAGGCAGCAGACGAAGACGUGGAUGAAGUAAUGAAUCCAUCUCCCUGCAGCCUAGCCAGGAGAGAGAUCGCGCCGCUGCAGGUUUUGCCCGCUUGAGCUGUCGAGUGAAUGUAGCAGGAGCACCAUGUGUGUGAGGAGCCAUAAAUCAUGAGGAGGAGCCAUAAAUCCUGAGGAGUCUCCCAGGAAAGCAUCAGGGGAUCGUGGAGGAGAAGAAUGGGCCAGCAGCUGGUGAGCUCGCCCAGUGACUUGUGUCCAGCUUUACUGGGAUACAGGAACCUUCCACCUGCCCACGGGUGCUGGAGGGCCAAGGAUGUCUUGGGAAACACAGGCUCAGGCUGCCCUGCAGUGGGAGGUAUUUUUUCUGAAAGCUUAUCCUGAACUUUUAAAGGAUUUUUUUUCAGCUUCAAAACCUAUAUAUUAUAAAGCAAAAUUCCUCACGUUGUUAGCAUAACUUUCAGCCAGCAUCAUUGGAUCCUGAGUCUGUUGCCAGCAGCAGCACCAGUGAUUUCCCCGGUUUGCUGCAAGGCAAAAGGACAAGCCGGGUUCCCGCUUUGCUGAGCCUCUUCGCUCACAAGGAACCAAAAUCCCCACGAAAAUUGGGCUGUCGCCACAUCAGCACUGCCAACAGCCGCCUCCGGGUGUGGCUGCCCUGGAAUGCAUUUAACACCCACCCUGAGCAUUUUUCUCCUCCUCUGCAUUUUUCCCCAUACAAUUUCCCUCACAAUUGAGUCCCUGGUGCUGGUUUGCAGGGACAGGCACCCUUUGCUGCUGGCCAGGUGGCUGGUGGCAUGUCCCUUGCCGGAGCAAUCUGUCCCCAUCUCGCUGUCAUGCUUUGUUCCCUGUGCUCAGUUUUACUCCCCUGCUAAACCCAGUCCACUGCUAUUUUAAUACCCAGGGAUAAACCCGUCUCUUUGCUGCGUCUCGCACAUGUUGCAAGCGGCACAAGAUAUGAAGCUGAGCAUGUCUGUGUUUAGCACCUGCCAGGCAGGUCCUGGCAAGGAAUGCAUUGGCUCUUUGGUGUCACCAGCUCCAAAUUACAGCAUUUCUUCUUCCCCCACUCGAGAUGCCUCCUCGGCUGAAAUGACAGCAUCAAAUUCUCCCUGUGUGACAGAAGGUUGGUUGUUCUUUGGUAUGGAGUUUGUUUUAUUAUUAAUUUCAUAUUUUUUUGUUGCUUUGUCUUUUGUUUGUUUAUUUGUUUUGUGUUUUCUAUCCCACUGCCAGAAAAGGGGAGAAGAUGCAAAUGCUGUUGCAUCCCAGUGUCUGCCCGGCACAGCUUGGCCCGAGUGUUUGUCCCUCCUGGAUCCCAAAUGCUGAUGCUGUGCCAAGACCAAACAUGACAGGAGCCAAACCACGCCACGAACUCCGGGAAGUGCAAAGGUGGGAAGUUAAAAGGCACUUGGGACUUGUUUUCCAGGAGGGUUUACGGGACGUCGCUUUAGCUUCACCCUCUGUUUACUGCAGGGUGCCUAGGUUUGGUCCAUUUGGUUCUUGUGGCUUCUGCCAUUGUGCUGGAACAGGGACAUGUCAAGGGAAGUAAUUCUUUUUGGCUUUUUCACAUCCUUAGCUUGUGACUCAGUUAUCAAGAGUUGUUACCUUUGCAUCUCCGGCAGAUGAAGAGAGGACCACUGCAUCACUUCUGUGUCACCCAGGAGAGCUCGAAUAUUGUGAUUAAAACAUUCCAGUCUCGCAUAGUCCGCUCAGACAUGUGGGAAGAAACCUUUGCAAUUAGAUUCCCUGUGCACCGGUAGGAGGGCAGGAGUUUCACCUUUUUAUCUUUUCCAUAACUAUAUUCUGCUGUGAUUUUUAGAGCAGCAGGGAAAAAAAAAUGCCUGUUUGAUUUUCUUCUUUAUGCUAAGCCUGGUUUUACUUUCUGAUUGCCAAAGCAUGAUAAAUGGAACAGAGAUUACCUAGAGACUUUCAAAGAUUUGCUUUCAAAUUUUGUUUUUGCUGAGCCUCAUUAAGCUUGCAGGUUUUAUCUACGCUUUGUUCUUACAGUAGAGUAGCUUUGCCAUGUUUUAAUAGCUUUUUUUCAUUAUUAUUAUUUGAAAUUAAAACCAGAUAGAGGCUUCUCAUGCUUAGCGUUCAAAUCCUAUUUUUAAAAAUGUUGAUCAUGUGUGCAUGGUUUUUCUUUUCCUCUGAUCACACUGGCCCUGUAAAGGACAGUCACUAACGAAACGCUUUGGACCUUUGUGCACUAAUGGGUGCGAUUUUGUAGAUUCAGGGACAGAUUUUAGAAAGUACAAUGUAUAGAUAAAAGAAAAAUGUGGUUUCCAACAGAGAGACAGGCAAGACAAAUAAUUAUAGAGGUCCUGCUUUUAAAUCUUAUGGGGUACAUAGCAGCUUAGAUGUGAUAAGAUAGUCCAUGGUGUAUCUAGGAGCAUCAUCCAGGAGCUAAAUGCUAUUGAAAGAUCUCGUUUUCCAUUAUUUUAGGAGAAAUGGCCAAAAACCUUCUCAUAGUCUCGAUGGUCUCUUCCAACCAAAGUGAUUCUACCUCAGUCUGCAAAGGGUGACCCCAGGGUCACCAAGCGGGGGGCACAGAGGGCAAGGGACCCCAUGGAGCAUCACGCGCCCUGAGGCAGAGGGACCGGGCGGCACAGCUGGAUUUACCUCCACCUUGGCUGGUCCAGCACCUGGAGAGAUGGGAGCACGGGUGGCGAUGCAAAGCUGGUGCUGGGAAGGCCGGGCUGUCCCGCGGUGUCCCCGCCGUGCACCGCCGCGCUGUCACCAGGAGGUGGCACAGCCCGAGCGCGGCCGCUCCGGAGCGGGGCCGGAGCCGACCCCCCCGCCAAGGGCAGCGACGUGAUUCACUCGGGCAGUUCCAGGAAACGGGAGAAAAGUCUUGUCUCUUCUUUCUCGGAAAUGCAUUGUGCGAAAUCCUUUUACAAUAAAAAAGACCAAACAAACAAACAAAAAACACAC